UGACGGGAGAUUUGUUACUGGGAAGAUGAAUAGUUGACCAUACUAUUUCUAUACCCUCUCAAGUGACUUGUCACACACGCUAAUUUAUUUGUGGAACAACACCUGGAUGUCCAGUGGCCGCUAUCUGACGACUAAAGCCAGCAGUAAUCCUAUGAAGGUUCACUACCACUUUCAAGAAUUCAGCGGGAGAAUGAUUCCACGUGAUUGCCAUGGUAAUUCCAGCAACGCUCCAGCAGAGAUCAGUUACAUUGGUUUGAGGGGUCACUUCUGUUUUGGAAGCAGAGAAGUGACAGCACACGGAUGCUAGCUUUUGCCACUACAACAAACCUGGAGAUUCUAUCAACUACCGACACACUCUACUGCUAUGGAACUUUCUACUCAUGCCCAAGAUUCUUCAGCCAGCUGUACACGAUCCAUGCUAUGAUAGAUGAUCAAAUGUACCCGCUCGUAUUCGCCCUUUUACCAGGAAAUUCGCAAGUCAUCUACACCAGAUCCAUGGAGAAGCUAAAAUCUACGAUGGAGGUUCUACAACUUCAACUCAACCCAACUUCAAUUUUCAUGGACGCCCAGAAUGCAGCCAAAGCCGUCUUCCCAGGGAUUACAGUGAAUGGUUGUUUCUUUCAUUCCACGCAGUGUAUUAAGAGAAAGACCAAGCUACUUGGACUCCAGACCUACUACAAGGAAAAAUAAAGACAUCCACAGACUGAUUCGUAGAGCCGCUGUUCUUCCACUAAUACCACCACAUCACAUCGAGGACUACUGGUUCAACGCCUUGGAGGACCUUGAAGACGUCGACCUACCCGUAGAUACAACGCUAUUCACUGACUACGUCAUCACCCAACGGAUAGAAGGAGACCGACAGGUUUGGAACCACUUUGACAACGAUGGACCCAGGACCACAAACAUCUUGGAAUGAUGGC